rnacentral:snRNA from 1 species
CACACUUCCCAGCCGUUGACUAAGAUCAAGUGCAUCAUCUUUUCUUAUCACUUUAAUAUCUGAUACACCCUCAGCUUGAAGAUUUUAUAUUAAAUGGAUUUGGAGGGCACAGGAGGGAGUAACCGCUUCCUCCAUCCACCCCAU